CCCUUAGAUGUCCUGGGCCGCACGCGCGUUACACUGAUGCAUUCAACGAGCUUAUAACCUUGGCCGAGAGGCCUGGGCAAUCUUGUUAACGUGCAUCGUGAUAGGGAUAGAUUAUUGAAAUUAUUAAUCUUGAACGAGGAAUUCCUAGUAAACGCAGAUCAUCAAUCUGCAUUGAUUACGUCCCUGCCCUUUGUACACACCGCCCGUCGCACCUACCGAUUGAAUGUUCCGGUGAGACCUUCGGAUUCGACGAUGUGGUUGAAAGAUUGUGUCGUUGAAAAAGUUGAGCAAACCUUAACAUUUAGAGGAAGGUGAAGUCGUAACA
rnacentral:rRNA from 1 species